UCAAUCAAAGUAUAAUGGUCAGUAUGCUGGGCUUUUAACUCAAAGGUCACAGGUUCGAUUCCCAGGUAGGGAA